GACGAACGCUGGCGGCAUGCCUAACACAUGCAAGUCGAACGAAAACUUCGGGUCUAGGGUCGCACGGGUGCGUAAGGCGUGGGAACCUGCCCUUGGGUACGGAAUAACUCUCCGAAAGGGGUGCCAAUACCGGAUAAUGUCUUCGGACCAAAGAUUUAUCGACUUUGUAUGGGCCCGCGUUGAAUUAGCUAGUUGGUAGGGUAAAAGCCUACCAAGGCGACGAUCCAUAGCUGGUCUGAGAGGAUGAUCAGCCACUCUGGGACUGAGACACGGCCCAGACUCCUACGCGAUGCAGCAGUGGGGGAUAGUGGACAGUGGCGGAAAGGCUGAUGGAGCAAUGCCGCGUGAGUGAUGAAGUUCUUAGGGUUGUAAAGCGCUUGUAACCAUGAUGAUAAUGACGGUACCGGGUGAAUAAGCUCCGGCUAACUCCGUG
rnacentral:rRNA from 1 species